UAAGUUCUAUGUGUAUUUUGCAGUCGCGUCCUCAUUGCUGGGGCACUUGAAUAACACCAUAAGUGAGCACUGUUCUAUGGUGUAGACACCAAACAAAAACACAACACACAGACAACACGAUAGGAUAUAAUGUGUAUUGUACAGCUUCUCACCUCGUCAGGUGCACUUAGUAGUGAAUGAUCCGUAUAAUCACAUUAUAAACACACACAACACAAAAACACAACACGCAGACAACACGAUAGGAUAUUAUGUGUAUUGUACAGCUUCUCACCUCGUCAGGUGCACUUAGUAGUGAAUGAUCCGUAUAAUCACAUUAUAAACACAUACAACACAAAACAACACGCAGACAACACGAUAGGAUAUUAUGUGUAUUGUACAGCUUCUCACCUCGUCAGGUGCACUUAGUCGUGAAUGAUCCGUAUAAUCACAUUAUAAACACAUACAACACAAAACAACACGCAGACAACACGAUAGGACAUAAUGUGUAUUGUACAGCUUCUCACCUCUUCGGGUGCACUUAGUAGUGAAUGAUCCGUAUAAUAACAUUAUAAACACACAAAACACAAAAAACACAACACGCAGACAACACGAUAGGACAUAAUGUGUAUUGUACAGCUUCUCACCUCGUCAGGUGCACUUAGUAGUGAAUGAUCCGUAUAAUCACAUUAUAAACAAACACAAAACACAACACGCAGACAACACGAUAGGACAUAAUGUGUAUUGUACAGCUUCUCACCUCGUCAGGUGCACUUAGUAGUGAAUGAUCCGUAUAAUCACAUUAUAAACACACACAACACAAAAACACAACA